UUAUGUUUGAAGCUUCCUUUCCAUUUGAGUUUUCGAAUCGAAACUCUACAUUCUUCUUCUGCACUAACCAAGCUAAGCUCCGAGGGUUCUACGACAUUUCUUCUUGGCCUCUUUUUCCUUUUUGUGAGGUGGCCAAUAGUUGGUAUAAUACUUGAAAUAUACGGUUGUGUUUUCCUCUUCAGCUCCUUAAUUAUUAAAGAAGGAUAUUUGAAUUUGAUUGUUGCUUCCUAGUCAAUUGGUUACCUUGGUAUUAGAAAUUUUCUGAUGAUUUAUGAUUGAAUGUGAUGUUAAGCUAGCUUUUCUAAUAGUUUGCCAUAAGGAAGUAAGUAUCAUUUACUGAAAUUUGUUGUCAAAUGUAAAGUAUAUAUGGUAGUUAUAUAUUUGACCUUUCAAGGCUCACACUGUUCUUUAGUUUUCAAUGUAAACAAAAAUAUUCAAGUCGGUUAUGCUGUUUUGAGGAAUGAAACUUACAUAGAAAUCAUACUUUUGUAAAA